AUUUUAAGAAAAUCACUUCAUGAAAUAGAUGUUUCUGUCCUGGUAGUUGAGAAAUAGAGCUCUGAAAGUAAAGAACAAGCAGUCCAUCUCUCUUGGUGGCUUUACUUCAUUUGUCUGCCUAAAGACAAGAAAUAAGCCCCAGGGUAUACUUAGGUUUCUUCCAGCUCAGAUUCCUCUGGGAUUCAACAAAAGUGAGUUUCAUUCUAUAUCUGAAUUAACCUUAAAGAAGUCUAGUUAAAAGUGGAAGAGUAGAGAUUUGUUCCAUAUAUGAUUAAAGUGCACCUUUGGGGAGUAAUUUUUCUAAAAUAUGUGCCGUGAGUAAAAGUAGAGAAUUUAACCUC
rnacentral:lncRNA from 1 species